AUCCUAACUUCGGUCACACUGUGAUGUUUGUUCAAAUUUAGGUGAGUGAAGUACAUAGUGCACUUAAGUAGUAGCUUUAAGGGGAAUUUUUAUUCCUUUGUUCAGGAAAACACAAAAACACAAGUGGACACAACUGUCCAGAGUAGGACAACCAACAGAUUCAGACUAUUUAACUUUAACCAUGUUGGACAAUCAGAGACCUCAAAAAUAUUAUUGGUUCUGGUCAGCUACCAGCAAUGCUGCAUGGAGAAAUGAGGGAACUGUAUGUGUGGACUAAUUCUGACACCCGUUUGUCAGUACAGUGAAACAGUAAUUGUGUUUUAAUGUGUAAACAUGUACAGGUCCUGUUAGCAAAGUCAGCAGCAGGACUAUUUUGAUAACAUCUUCAAUUGCACAAAAUUGCCUCAUGUACGUAUAUAAAGAAGGUAAUGGUGCACACUCUUACAUGACAAAUAAAAAAACUCAAUUUUCUCUGUUCAUCAAUACUGCUGUUCUGAAAUUCUUUGUCUUGGAAGACAUAUAGAAAAAAUUAUGUUUUAAAAAACAAAUAUGUAUGUGUGGACAAGUCCAAAGUGAGUAUUUGUCAUGUGACUUUUAUUUUGCGUAUCAUAACGUUUUCUUAAGACUCUACUGGCAACUACAUUGUCAAACCCAAAUACUUCCACACACGAAUUCCCCUGAUCACCCGGUCAACACAUCUUUGCUCACAAUAGCAGGUGAAAUUUACUAACCUGCAGUCAUUCACAUGCAACUUACAACAAAGAAAACAUUAACAACACCAACUCUAUCCUGGAAGAAA